UGGGUGCACCCAAGGCUGCCAAAGCCGCCAUCACGUGCAGCGACGUGGUGAGCCACUUGAUCCCGUGCUUGUCCUACGUACAAAACGGCGGUACACCCGCUGCUGCAUGCUGCAGUGGGGUAAAAACACUCUACGGCCAGGCUCAGACCUCCCCGGACCGCCAAGACGUGUGCAAGUGCAUCAAAUCGGCGGUGAACGGAAUGCCUUACACCGGCUAUAACCUCAAUCUCGCAGCCGGCCUACCUGCUAAAUGUGGUCUCCAUCUUCCUUACAACAUCAGCCCCUCCACUGACUGCAACAAG
rnacentral:lncRNA from 1 species